rnacentral:misc_RNA from 1 species
GCGUGUGUGUGUGUGUGUAAGGAGACCUUUACCCCGAUGUGGGUGAGAAACAAAUGACCGAUUUGAUUGAGUCUCACAUACACAAACACACUAUUUCUCUGUCUCUCUCUCUCUCCCUUUCUCUUUCUCUCUCUCUCUUUCUGACACACACACAUAUACACAUACAUGCGACAGAGAUAGCACGCGAGAUAGAAAGAGUAAGAGAAUCAGCGAUAUUUAACUCCAAUUUCUCUAUUACUUCGUCAACAAUAACAACGACAACGACGACGAUAACAACAAGAACAGCUAUUUUCCUUCAUAGUAAAGUACCUCAACAGUAGCGAAACAUUGAACCAACCUCGGCAGGCGAUACAACCAACAAAUUCAAGCGAUCGUUCGCUUCUGAAACCGGUCGCAAAGAACAAACGACUAAAACAAUAUGGAGGCUGAAGCAAUUCCGCUACGAAAUCCAACCAGCGAAGUCGAGUGUCAAAAUGUAGGAAACAUUUCGAAAACUAUGAAUUGUCAAGAGAAGACGAAACCACCACUGUCCAUUGGUCAGAAAGUAGAAUUGGUUUUCGUAGUAUUUUCUGGUUUUGUCAUCAAUUUUAUGGUGUUUGGUUUUGCUGCCAGCCUAUCGGUGUAUUUCGUAAAAUAUAAACGGGCCUUUCCGAUGCAUUAUGAAAUGGUUUUAUUAACAAUAUUUUUGCAAACUGGUAUUUUCUCUACUGUAGGUAUGCUGGCAGGAAUGUUCCUCCACAAAUUCGGAGUACGAGCCACAGCAGUCUUGGGAAGCGUUCUGCUCAGCUUAGGAGUCGGUGCCUCUUGUUUUGCACCCAACAUCAUAUUUCUUAUGUGUUUCUUUGGAAUUGUAAGCGGUGUUGGGUCUUCGUUUCUAUUUUGCUCGAUGAAUGUGGGUGUUGCUUCGUAUCUGGAAAAUUCUGGUCGACAUCUUAUGCCUUUAGUAGAUAUGGGAGGAUCAGCUGGUGGCGUAGUUUGCCCGCCUUUGAUUUCUUAUUUAAUCGAUUUUUACGGUUGGCGGGGAAGCUUAUUGAUAUUUGCCGCCAUUGCCUUAAAUUCUUUACCUUGCGGUUUAAUGUAUUCCAUUAAGAAUAGAAUGGACAACAACGAUAAAAAUUCAAAACAACGUCAAGAUUCAUAUGGAGAAAAGGACAUCGACAAUAUUUACAAACUGUUAUCCACCGACAUCGAAGAAGCGGGGAAAGCGGAUAGUUGUUACGUUGAACAUAACAGCGAGCAACUUCUGCUUCAAUCCAACAACAGUCACUGUGCAGAAGAAACGGGAGAUUUAGCAAGAAACGAUACGUCAUCAGAUCACUGCUUGGCUACUACACCAGCCAUAGACGACAGCUCAUCACUGAACCGUGAACACUCGAAAACUAAUGACCAAGUAGAAGAUACUAAAAAUACAACCUGUGAAAUUAGCCCAAAAGCUCUAUUUCUCUCGAUUUUUUCCAAUAAAGGUUUUCUUUUAUUUGUUCUAACUAUGACAGUAGUAGUCAGUUCAGAACUCACAUUAUCAGCAAUGACGUCCGAUUUCUUCGUCAGCAAAGGUACGACUCGCUCAGAAGCUGCACAAAUUUAUGGAAUCGGUUUUACUGGUGAAAUUAUAGCCCACAUUUCUAGUACAUGGAUGCUUUAUAAAAACAAAACGCUAAGUUUACUUAUUUUUUGCAUAUCUGCUAUAUUAAGUGGAGCUUUGGUUACGAUAUAUCCUUCCAUUCCUACGAUGACAUCACUGUCGUCUGCUGGAUCGGCAAUAUUUUUAACAAUGUGUGAAAUGACUGCUCACGGACAUUACCAGGCUGUAUGCAUCCUUGUUAUUUUGGAAUUUUUCGAUGAGAAGCGAUAUCCAUUUGCCAUAGGUUUCACUAUGACAGUUUCGGGAAUUUUCGUUCCCAUUUUCGGAUACAUAUUUGGUAUUAUCACUCAAUACAACAACAACGACUACACCGUCAGCUUUUAUCUUCUGGGCUCCUUAAUUGUGAUCUUUACUUUGCCAACAUUUAUACGUUUUCUUGUUAAACGAGAAAAGUCUAAGAGAAAAGAAACCCAUCAAAAGAACUUGGAAGUAAAUUUAAAAGACUUUUAAAUUCAAAGGACAUUUUACUAACUUUCACUUUUAAAGAAGACAAAAAUAAUCUGUUGAUGCAGUCUUCUUAUCUCACAGUUCGUCCUUGGAAAUCUUGUCAGAAUAUGGAAGGUGUGUAAAAAGUUUGUCUUGAAGAACAGCACAGGAAAAAACGUAAAAAAAAAAAAGAUAAUUUAUUAAAAGAGAAUACGGGGGAACUUAAUGCUGUUCAGCUUUGGCAAAGAAGUUAUGGAAAUAUAAUAAACAGUCGAGUAAAUUAUAUAUCACGAAGAAGAAGAAAAAAAGCUAACGUUUUUCGAAGACAAUAAUAAAGCAAAUCACUGAUGUACGAA